GAGAGUAUAAAAACUCCCAAACCCCUGUGAACAUACCUACCGUUGCCUCGGCGGCGCCCCCCGGGGACCGCCGAAGGCCCACUAAACUCUUGUCAUAUCUUGCAACUCUGAAUACCAAAACAAAUAAGUUA
rnacentral:misc_RNA from 1 species